rnacentral:rRNA from 1 species
CUGAUUAUAUUAAAGAGCCGCAGUAUUCUGACUGUGCGAAGGUAGCAUAAUAAAUUGUCUUUUAAAUGGAGGCUUGAAUGAAAGGUUGGACAAAGUAUCAUCUGUUUCUUAAAUAUUUAUUGAAUUUGACUUUCAAGUGAAAAGGCUUGAAUAAAUUAAAAAGACGAUAAGACCCUAUAAAUCUUUACAAUAAACAUGUUCUAUACUUUAAUUUAUAAGUGUAUAAAAUAUUAAAUUUGUAUUUGUUUCGCUGGGGCGGCGUGGAUAUAUUAAUAAACUGUCUAUGUGUUAAAUCCAAUAAUUAUUGAUUAGUGAGAUUGAUCCUUAAAUAGAUUAAAAGAUUAAGAUACUUUAGGGAUAACAGCGUUAUUUUUUUUGAGAGUUCUUAUCGAAGAAAAAGUUUGCGACCUCGAUGUUGAAUUAAAGUAUCUUUAUGGUGCAGCCGCUAUAAGAGAGAGUCUGUUCGACUUUUAAUACUUUACAUGAUCUGA